UACGAAGGGGGCUAGCGUUGUUCGGAAUUACUGGGCGUAAAGCGCGUGUAGGUGGUGGGACAAGUCUGCUGUGAAAGCGCCUGGCUUAACCGGGCGAGGUCGGCGGAAACUGCCUCACUUGAGGACGGUAGAGGGGGGUGGAAUUCCCGGUGUAGUGGUGAAAUGCGUAGAGAUCGGGAGGAACACCUGUGGCGAAGGCGGCCCCCUGGGCCGGCCCGUGACACUGAGACGCGAAGGCGUGGGGAGCGAACGGG
rnacentral:rRNA from 1 species